rnacentral:rRNA from 1 species
GCUUGUCUCAAAGAUUAAGCCAUGCAUGUCUAAGUGUAAAUACGUCUACACUGUGAAACUGCGAAUGGCUCAUUAAAUCAGUUAUCGUUUAUUUGAUGAUCUCUCGUUACAUGGAUAACCGUGGUAAUUCUAGAGCUAAUACAUGCGCCCAAACCCAACUUCUUGGAAGGGUUGUGUUUAUUAGAUACAGAACCAACCCAGGCUCCGCCUGGCCUUGAGGUGAUUCACAAUAACCGAACGAAUCGCAUAGCUGCCGCUGGCGAUAGACCAUUCAAGUUUCUGACCUAUCAGCUAUCGUCGGUAGGGUAUUGGCCUACCGUGGCAAUGACGGGUAACGGAGAAUUAGGGUUCGAUUCCGGAGAGGGAGCCUGAGAAACGGCUACCACAUCUAAGGAAGGCAGCAGG